CUCAGCUGCUCUUGCCACACUCAUUAUCUAUCAUCUCAUUGCAGCAACAGCAAACCACUCUUCAAAGACCUACACAUUUUUCCAAACCAGUCCAUAAGGCCAUGCAAGGGGAGAAGGGGGAAACCUAUUUUUAUUUCUUUUUGAUUGACUUUAGGAAAAGAAGAAAUUACCAUUUUCCUGUAGUAUUGGUGAGAGGUGUGUGGGAAAGUUACAUAUGGUCAUAAACCAUCUGAACCUCAGCACGUGGAAGUUAGCUGGUGUAGAGGCACAUCAUGGGCACCCAAAGCAGUCCUGUGUGUUUAAAUUUACUAAAACAUAUUAAGGAGUGCUAUCCCUCUUUCUUUAUCUGUCCAGGUCUGGCUCAUCUUCUUCUUCAUGGAAUGAGUGCCAAUGAACACUUAUGACGGAGCAGAGGGAGAGCAAAGGGAAUCUGAGUGCUUGGAGGCCUUGCUGGCCAUAGGACAGGUGUUGCUGCUUUAAGUUGCCUGUAUCCCUGGUCCCCCAGCACCAGGCUCCUGGCUAUGGGGAGUCAACCAGAAAAGCCAAGUCUCUCUCCAUGGGCCACAGAAGGACAUUUGCAAAGAUGGCCAAUGCAAAAGCUAACGAGGUGAUGGGAGGCAAGUGAUGCACAACUCAUCCUGCAGGAAGCACAGCCAGCCACUCUUCCUUUCCAUAGACCCUCUGCCCCUGCCAGUGGCUUCACUGCUGUGUCAAGGUACCCUUUCUGAAAAAUUGUGAGGACUCUGUGGAAGAAGAAUGCUUUUUUAUUUGUUCUGACCUCUAGAAGAACAGCUCUGGUUCUGUUUACUGAGGUAACUCGAUCCUCAAGCAGAAAUACUCAGCAAGCAAGAAAUAUCAGGGUUUUACAGAUUCUGAUGAAGGAAUUACGGACAUCCUUGGACAAUCCAUUAAAACCACCACUGUCACGGCAGAUAAUGAAAGUCUGUCUGCUUUGGGAUGAUGCAAGACUUAUUUGAUUUUUGGGAGGAUGUUUAGCCUGAAUCAAUGUGAAAAGAUUAGUGUUUUAGAAACUCCAAUCUGAUCUGGAAAAAAAAGUGUUUCCAUGUUUGCUUUCUUAAUAUGUUUGAAUAGUUUUCACAUACAGUGUUAAAAGAUUUUCCUCAGUAAUUUAAAUGCUAUGGUUCAGUAGCUUCGAAGAUCUUCUGAUUUUGUAUGGGAAAAGUUAUCUUUAGAAGGAUAAUGUAAUGCUAUGUUAUAACACAGAUGAUAUAGACUCAAACCUAAGUGUGUUUCUGUAAUAUAGUGAUAUGGGAUGGAGCUGAAAGCAUUUUAGAACAUUAUGGUCAGUUUGGACAAAGAUUUCAUUCAGUUUUAAAAUUUAGUCUGGACCUUCUAUGGAGCUAGCCCUAGUUUCAUUCAGAGAAAUCUAUCCCC